GACUUCAACGUUCAAAUCGAAGAUCCGCUUUUAUUUCCUUGAACCCUCUCUCUCGUACUCUCUUAUCCAUUCCCUCCUAAAAGAAAUGUCCCUCCUUUUCUCGCACACUCUCCUCCCUUCAGCUCUUCCUCUCUCCCGCCACCGAAACGCCGUCGUUUACUAUGCCGCCGCCUCCACCACAAAGAGAAAGCCAUCACCCAGAAGGAAAAAGCGCCAAUCCCAAGAAAGAAAAGACGAAGAAAAUGCUACUCUCUCUUCCCCAAACGCUGUCAUGUCGGCCCUCGAGAAAUCGCUCCGCCUCACCUUUAUGGAAGAGCUUAUGCUAAAAGCCAGGUCCCGAGACACCUCCGGCGUCUCCGAUGUCAUUUACGACAUGAUCGCUGCUGGCCUCACUCCGGGCCCCAGGUCGUUUCAUGGGCUUGUUGUUGCUCAUGUACUAAAUGGUGAUGUUGAAGGCGCGAUGCAAGCAUUGAGGAGGGAAUUGAGUGUGGGUGUUCACCCUCUUUAUGAAACGUUUGUUUCGAUGAUUCGUUUGUUUGGGUCUAAAGGCCUUGCAACCAAAGGCUUGGAUGCCCUUGCAGCAAUGGAAAAGUUAAACUACGAUAUUCGUCAAGCUUGGAUUAUUCUUGUUGAGGAGCUUGUAAGGAAUAGGUUUUUGGAAGAUGCCAACUCUGUGUUUUUGGAGGGUGCCAAAAGUGGGUUGAGAGCUACAAAUGAGCUGUAUGAUCUAAUGAUUGAGGAGGAUUGUAAAGUCGGGGAUCAUUCUAAUGCGUUAGAAAUUGCCUAUGAAAUGGAGGCUGCUGGACGGAUGGCAACAACUUUUCAUUUCAACUGCCUCCUUAGUGUGCAAGCCACUUGUGGGAUUCCCGAAAUAGCUUUUGCGACAUUUGAGAACAUGGAAUAUGGAGAAGAAUAUAUGAAACCUGACACAGAGACAUAUAAUUGGGUGAUCCAAGCGUACACUAGAGCUGAAUCUUAUGAUAGGGUGCAAGAUGUGGCCGAGUUACUUGGGAUGAUGGUUGAAGACCACAAGCGGUUGCAGCCUAAUGUGAAAACCUAUGCGCUGUUAGUGGAAUGCUUUACCAAGUACUGUGUUAUAAGGGAAGCUAUUCGGCAUUUUCGUGCACUGAAAAACUUUGAAGGGGGGACAAAAGUGUUGCACAGCGAAGGAAAGUUCGAUGAUCCACUUUCUUUGUAUCUUCGAGCAUUAUGUCGAGAAGGAAGAAUUGUUGAACUGCUAGAAGCUUUGCAAGUUAUGUCCAAAGAUAACCAACCUAUUCCACCAAGAGCUAUGAUUUUAAGCAGAAAAUAUCGUUCUCUAGUUAGCUCAUGGAUUGAACCUCUACAAGAAGAAGCUGAACUUGGUUAUGAGAUUGAUUACAUAGCUAGGUACAUUGAAGAAGGUGGGCUUACUGGUGAGCGCAAGCGAUGGGUGCCUCGAAGCGGAAAAACACCUCUAGAUCCUGAUGCUGCUGGAUUUAUAUAUUCAAACCCUAUGGAAACCUCCUUCAAGCAAAGACGUCUGGAGGAGUGGAGGAUAUACAACCGGAAACUUUUGAAAACCUUGCAGAAUGAAGGUCUUGCAGCUCUGGGGGAUGCAACUGAAUCUGAUUAUAUGAGAGUCAUGGAGAGGUUGAAGAAACUAAUAAAAGGUCCUGACCAGAAUGUUUUAAAACCCAAGGCUGCCAGUAAGAUGAUAGUAUCUGAGCUAAAGGAAGAGCUUGAAGCACAAGGUCUACCGACUGAUGGAACAAGAAAUGUUCUUUACCAACGUGUACAAAAAGCAAGGAGAAUUAACCGCUCACGUGGUCGGCCUCUUUGGGUUCCUCCCGUGGAAGAGGAAGAAGAAGAGGUUGAUGAGGAGUUAGAUGAGCUAAUUUCUCAGAUUAAGUUGGAAGAAGGAAAUACAGAGUUUUGGAAACGCCGUUUUCUUGGAGAAGGCUUGAAAGUUGAUCAGGUGAAGCUUAUAGAUGAGGGUGAAUCAGAAACUGCAGAUGAUGAGCUGGAUGAUGGCAAUGCUGUAGAAGAUGCUGGAAAGGAUAUUGAAGAUGAUGAUGCUGAUGAAGAGGAGGAAGUAGAAGUAGAAGUAGAAGCAGAAGUAGAACAAACUGAAAGCCAAGAAGUAGACAGGAUCAAGUAUAAGGAAAUUGAAGCUAAGAAGCCUCUUCAGAUGAUUGGAGUCCAAUUGUUGAAAGACUCUGACCAAACAACCACUAGAUACAAAAAAUCAAGAAGAAGGUCUUCUCGAGCACUUGUAGAGAAUGAUGAUGAUGAGGAUUGGUUUCCUUUGGAUAUUUUUGAGGCAUUUCAAGAGCUGAGAAAUAGGAAGGUGUUUGAUGUAGAAGACAUGUACACAAUAGCUGAUGCUUGGGGUUGGACAUGGGAGAGAGAACUUAAAAAUAAACCUCCUCGAAGAUGGUCACAGGAAUGGGAAGUUGAGUUGGCAAUUCAAGUAAUGGAAAAGGUCAUAGAAUUGGGUGGAACACCCACUGUUGGCGAUUGUGCUAUGAUACUGCAUGCUGCUAUAAAGGCUCCUAUGCCUUCAGCCUUCUUGAAGAUCUUGCUGACAACACACAGUCUUGGUUACGUCUUUGGGAGUCCCCUCUAUGAUGAAGUAAUCUCAUUAUGCCUUGACCUUGGGGAACUAGACGCAGCCAUUGCAAUUGUUGCAGACCUGGAGGCUACUGGAAUUGCGGUCCCUGACCAUACCCUUGACAGAGUUAUUUCUGCCAGACAGAAGGUCGACACUCCUGGUGGCGAUGCAUCAUCAUCAUCAUCAACAGCAACAUCAUCUUCACCACCAUCAUAGCAGCAGUUUAAGCACUGAGCUUCAACUUCUAGUUUAAUGGCUUGGCCAAAAUGUUUGAAGUGCGGAAUGGGAUAUCUGGGACAGUGUGUUCAUUUACAGCCAAAUAAUCAUGAUAUGCUAGGUGAUUCAGUUGCUUGGGGUGGUUGUACCAUAAUAUACUUGCUUGGGCAACAGCUGCAUUUUGAGCUAUUUGAUUUUUCAUAUCAAAUCCUAAACGAUGCAGAAAGUUGAAGCUGUAGAAAUCACGCAAACACAUAAAAAUCCUUAUUUUGGCCAGCAUAUUAGGUGACCAGGCCUCGCAGUCUAGAGUAUCUGUGCAUCAUUUCUUGUGUUAGGCUGAUUUGGGACAUGAAUGAGACCAUUUUCAUGUCUUAAAGCUGUGCAAGUUUGGAACUUGAGUCUCAGUUCAUGAUCAACAUAGUUGAAAUGAAACCAUAGCUCCUAUGGCAAGUAUGUCGAGAAUGGCGAAUGUGUCAUCUAGUGUGAUUAUCAGUUCACUGAAUGAAAAAUGAAAUGUGUUCAUCUCAAACUACCAAUUUUCAUAAAAUGUCAACAAUAUCAUAUUAUUAACCAAACAUUUGGUGCACUUGAUCAAAGACGCCCACCUAGAUUAAAUUACAUUGGAAUGGAAUUGUUGUCAAAAAGCAUUUUAAAGGCUAGUAUUGUAACUUUGGCCAAUAGUUUUAUCGAUUUUAACAGAUCUUACUCAUAACAACAACAAUAACAAAUAGAAAUUAGUUAUUAACUUUACAAAUAUUAUGUAAUAAGAAUAAAGCAUAAGCAUAAUCGUGAUUAGAUUGAUUAUCUAGCUAUUCCACACAUUGGCUACAACAAGACACUUGAAGCUUUGAAGGAUAGAAGUAUUUUUCGGUCCUCUAAAAAAAAGAACAAACCAUUGGUAGAUAAAAGGUAACUUCUCUACAACAAUAUUAUCCUCUGAUGGGCUAACAACCAACUCAUCAACAUUUCUUCUAGUCCUAGUCAUCGUCUCUUCUUAAAAGCAAUUAGACGCCUCCAAUCCUUUAGAAGGUUAGGGUCGAUACAUUACUACCCCA